AACUGGUCUUGAAUUUGCAGCCUCAAGGAAUCCUCUUGUCUCAGGCUUCCAAAAUGCUAGGAUUACAGAAUCCCAGAAUUGUGGAGCUAGAAACACCUGAGAUCAUCGACUCCAAGCUUUUCAUGAUAAUAGAAGAAAAACAGUGGAGACUUGGAGAUUAAACUUCAUCUCCAGCAAUGGCGAAGCUGGGAACUGAAAUGAGGCUAACGUCAGGCUUCCUAUGAGAUUGUAACCAGGAAAGGGUCCUGUCCCUGGAGAUGCUGCAGAAAUGGGAGGGAGGUUGAUCUCUGGAGGUUCCUCCAGAAGAGGAACAGAUAUUAUGGAUGGGGACUAGUGUGGGAUACGAUGAGGUUUCUCUUCAAAAAAUCUGAUCAAUCUUUUAUUCUUUAAUUUAUAGUAACCCCCCCCCCAUUUUUCUCCCUUUUUCUGUUUUUUUCCUUCUUGCCUUUGUUAGAUGCCCAGGCACGCCACAGUACCAGGUGUUAUCAGUACCAGCUCACAUUCCUUUCCUUAUUUGGAAAGAGGACUAACUUUCUGGCUCAUUACAGACACCCCUUCCCCUUUCCCUCCACUUUCUUUUACGUGCCCACCCUAUCUAAAAAAAAACAAUGUUUAGCCAACCGGGAUUAGUUUACAUUGUACAACCCGACCCCAGCCAAUGGGGAAAGGGUACAGGGCAGGACUUGCGUCAGGAAUAAAG
rnacentral:lncRNA from 1 species